GCUUAACACAUGCAAGUCGAGGGGCAGCAUGGUCUUAGCUUGCUAAGGCCGAUGGCGACCGGCGCACGGGUGAGUAACACGUAUCCAACCUGCCGUCUACUCUUGGACAGCCUUCUGAAAGGAAGAUUAAUACAAGAUGGCAUCAUGAGUCCGCAUGUUCACAUGAUUAAAGGUAUUCCGGUAGACGAUGGGGAUGCGUUCCAUUAGACAGUAGGCGGGGUAACGGCCCACCUAGUCUUCGAUGGAUAGGGGUUCUGAGAGGAAGGUCCCCCACAUUGGAACUGAGACACGGUCCAAACUCCUACGGGAGGCAGCAGUGAGGAAUAUUGGUCAAUGGGCGAGAGCCUGAACCAGCCAAGUAGCGUGAAGGAUGACUGCCCUAUGGGUUGUAAACUUCUUUUAUAAAGGAAUAAAGUCGGGUAUGCAUACCCGUUUGCAUGUACUUUAUGAAUAAGGAUCGGCUAACUCCGUGCCAGCAGCCGCGGUAAUACGGAGGAUCCGAGCGUUAUCCGGAUUUAUUGGGUUUAAAGGGAGCGUAGAUGGAUGUUUAAGUCAGUUGUGAAAGUUUGCGGCUCAACCGUAAAAUUGCAGUUGAUACUGGAUAUCUUGAGUGCAGUUGAGGCAGGCGGAAUUCGUGGUGUAGCGGUGAAAUGCUUAGAUAUCACGAAGAACUCCGAUUGCGAAGGCAGCCUGCUAAGCUGCAACUGACAUUGAGGCUCGAAAGUGUGGGUAUCAAACAGGAUUAGAUACCCUGGUAGUCCACACGGUAAACGGAUGAAUACUCGCUGUUUGCGAUAUACGGCAAGCGGCCAAGCGAAAGCGUUAAGUAUUCCACCUGGGGGAGUACGCCGGCAACGGUGAAACCCAAAGGAAUUGACGGGGGCCCGCACAAGCGGAGGAACAUGUGGUUUAAUUCGAUGAUACGCGAGGAACCUUACCCGGGCUUAAAUUGCAGAUGAAUUACGGUGAAAGCCGUAAGCCGCAAGGCAUCUGUGAAGGUGCUGCAUGGUUGUCGUCAGCUCGUACAGUGAGGUGUCGGCUUAAGUGCCAUAACGAGCGCAACCCUUGUUGUCAGUUACUAACAGGUUCCGCUGAGGACUCUGACAAGACUGCCAUCGUAAGAUGUGAGGAAGGUGGGGAUGACGUCAAAUCAGCACGGCCCUUACGUCCGGGGCUACACACGUGUUACAAUGGGGGGUACAGAGGGCCGCUACCACGCGAGUGGAUGCCAAUCCCCAAAACCUCUCUCAGUUCGGACUGGAGUCUGCAACCCGACUCCACGAAGCUGGAUUCGCUAGUAAUCGCGCAUCAGCCACGGCGCGGUGAAUACGUUCCCGGGCCUUGUACACACCGCCCGUCAAGCCAUGGGAGCCGGGGGUACCUGAAGUGCGUAAACGGGAGGAGCGCCCUAGGGUAAAACUGGUGACUGGGGCUAA
rnacentral:rRNA from 1 species